GACACUUUGGCGGAGUGGUUAACGCGCUGCCCUGCUAUUUGUUCGACAAGGCAGUGUCUUCGGACGCGCAGGUUCGAAUCCUGCAGGUGUCG